ensembl:lncRNA
AUAAGAAUGUAUUUUUUAACAAAGAAAGCAUAGACAACUCAGAAACGGCAAGCAAAGGUCAAUUUUCAGUAAGUGAUUCUUCUCUAAAACAGGAGAUAGACUAACUUGUCUGAUAGAAUAAGCCUCCCAGUACUCUGUACCCAAGUGGCAGAUACAGGGGGCUGGCAACACAAAUUUUGAAAGACACCAUUCAGAUCUUCAUCAAAUCCUUCAAAGAAACUUCAUAGCGGGUUGUGAGGAAAGAAGAACAACAAAGCAUGGGCCAAAAACUAAAAGAGAUGAAACAGGAGAACAAAUGGUCAUUUAAAAUGACGGUGAAAAGCCAGAACAGUGGAGUGUAUGUAAGAUCUUGUGACAGAACAUGUGUUGUAACCACCCUUACAAACAGUCUAGAAAAGGGCUGUACAGAAGAAAAAAACACUUGUAGAGGACACGAGAGCGUGGGAUGGAUGGAGGAGAUAUUCAGGGUGACCCAACAGUGCAGAUUGCUUCUUUCUCCUGUAUACAAGAAAUCAUGGAUUUCACCUCAUUGUUCCCUUGAGCUUCAUAGAAGGUUCUCCUAUUUUUCCUGUGCAUCAGGCAUUAUCAAUAUGAAUGAGUUUAGUUACAGAGGCAGGACAUCCAGG